GGAUUUGGAACUAAAAUUUGCCUC
rnacentral:siRNA from 1 species